AUUGAACGCUGGCGGCAGGCCUAACACAUGCAAGUCGAACGAGUGGCGGACGGGUGAGUAAUGUCUGGGAAACUGCCUGAUGGAGGGGGAUAACUACUGGAAACGGUAGCUAAUACCGCAUACCAUCGGAUGUGCCCAGAUGGGAUUAGCUAGUAGGUGGGGUAAAGGCUCACCUAGGCGACGAUCCCUAGCUGGUCUGAGAGGAUGACCAGCACGACUGGAACAGAGAAACGGUCCAGAGUCCAAGGGGAGGAAGCAGAGGGGAAUAUUGCACAAUGGGCGCAGGCCUGAUGAAGCCAUGCCGCGUGUAUGAAGAAGGCCUUCGGGUUGUAAAGUACUGACAGCGGGGAGGCGUUACCCGCAGAAGGAGCACCGGCUAACUCCGAGCCAGCAGCCGCGGUAAUUC
rnacentral:rRNA from 1 species